GGGGUUGACUGGAUUUGACGGCAAGCCGAGAUGGUACGUAAGCACGCGGAGCUGGGCUAUGGGAGGCUCCUAAAUCUCUUCUGUAGGAAAAUUAAUUGGCAACAACGAGUAUGCUCUCGCUGCCUAAUCGAAGUAUAGUAGAUUACUGGCUUAAUUCCCUUACAAGGUGAGGGAACGGGACGUCGCUCCAAGGAUGUGGUUCCGAAUCCGAAGAUCAAGCGGCGCAGGUUAAAUCGGAAAUAGUCUCAGCAGGCCCCGAUGCUGUGAUGAAAUUCAGGGGAUAAGGUUGUGAUUGGUGGCUUGGGUCUUGUCGCAGCACGAAAAUGAAGUCCAAGAUAAGCGUGUAGAAAGCGUAUGGUUUCCUUGUGCGGACGAGGGUUCGACUCCCUCCAGCUCCAC
rnacentral:tmRNA from 1 species